GCAAGUGUGGCCGAGUGGUUAAGGUAAGACAACCGAAAUCCGGUCGAGUCCUCCGAGUCAGACUAACACAAAAGAAAUAGGCGUCGUGUUUAGGUCAUCAUUUAUAUGAUUACAGAUCCGCGAUUCUCAGGAGCGUGAGUUCGAAUCUCACCGCUUGCA
rnacentral:tRNA from 1 species